rnacentral:pre_miRNA from 1 species
CUGCAGGCAGUGUAAACACCCUACACUCUCAGCUGCUGACUGACAGAGGAAGCUGGGAGAGGGUGCUUACCUUGCCUGGCU